AGUGAACGCUGGCGGUAGGCCUAACACAUGCAAGUCGAACGGCAGCACAGUAAGAGCUUGCUCUUACGGGUGGCGAGUGGCGGACGGGAGAGGAAUACAUCGGAAUCUACUUUUUCGUGGGGGAUAACGUAGGGAAACUUACGCUAAUACCGCAUACGACCUACGGGUGAAAGCAGUGGAUCUUCGGACCUUGCGCGGUUGAAUGAGCCGCUGUCGGAUUAGCUAGUUGGCGGGGUAAAGACCCACCAAGGCGACGAUCCGUAGCUGGUCUGAGAGGAUGAUCAGCCACACUGGAACUGAGACACGGUCCAGACUCCUACGGGAGGCAGCAGUGGGGAAUAUUGGACAAUGGGCGCAAGCCUGAUCCAGCCAUACCGCGUGUGUGAAGAAGGCCUUCGGGUUGUAAAGCCCUUUUGUUGGGAAAGAAAAGCAGCAGGUUAAUACCCCGCUGUUCUGACGGUACCCAAAGAAUAAGCACCGGCUAACUUCGUG
rnacentral:rRNA from 1 species